GGCAUUGUUGUUCUUAGGUAAAAAUUGUUCUCUAGAGCUAACUUGGAUUGGGAUGAGACAGAUUCAGGUAUGUGUAAAAUCUUAGUCUGUUUAUUUUUAUGGGUAAAUAUAAAUUUUGGUACCUAUAUUUGGUUUCAAGGUUCAAAUUGGUACCUAAGGGUUUUUUUUUAUCCAGUUAGGUACCUAAAUUUGGCCUCAAUGUUCAAUUUGGUACCUAAACCUUUUUUGGUCUAGUUGCCUAAACUUGACUUUUUUGCUUUAAAUUAGUACAUGAAGUUGGCUUCAUAGUCCAAAUUUGUUCAAAUAAGUCAUUUACUAGAAGUUCUAAUUUAGACUAAAAAGUCAAGUUCAAGUACAAAUUUAAAUUAAGAAACCAAGUUCAGGUGCCCAAUUAAAUCAGAAUAAAUUUUAUAUACCAAAUUGAACCUUAAAAUCAAUUUCGAGUACCUAAAUUAUACACAAAUUUAAAUAUCAAUUUAAAUCUUGAAGCCAAAUUUAAAUACCGAAAUGCAUAUUUACCCUUUUUUUCACUGUUCAAGCUAAGUUAUUUGGAUUUCGAAUUCAAUUAUCUGUCCAACAAUAGUAUGUUUAGAUUUUUUUAUUUUAAACAUUUUGGUUGUAUUUAGAAGAUUGUUGAUGUGUCAUAUCUUUAUCUCUAUUUAGUGUCUAACACGAAUACUUAUCUAUCAAUGAAGAGUUAAAUUCAAUUCUUAAUGGCACAUAAUUUGAUUUGUCAAAGUUGUUCAAAACCUACAAUCACAUAAAUACACAUAUCUCAAUUUCUAAUCCACACAAAGCAAAUUAUACAAGUUUUGACCUUUUGGCUAUUUUCAUUUAAGACCCAGGCACAAACUUAGUAGCAUAGACCCAAGCAUUGUUUGCAACAGGGUUAUCAAGGUGGUCCAAUAGGUUCUCCAAGGGACCUUUACCUGUAACAAUGGCUUGAACAAAGAAACCAAACAUUGAAAACAUGGCUAGCCUACCAUUCUUGAUUUCUUUAACCUUAAGUUCAGCAAAUGUAACGGGGUCAUCAGCAAGGCCAAGAGGGUCAAAGUACUGGCCACCAGGGUAAAGAUCAUUGCCUUCACCAACACCAGGGAGGCCAUUGAUGCGGAAUCCUUCGACGAGUCCCAUUAGGACGACUUGGAAUCCGAGAACGGCGAGGAUGCUUUGAGCAUGGACUAGGUUAGGGUUGCCUAAGUAAUCCAAGCCACCUUCUGAGAAAAUUUGAGCUCCUGCCUUGAACCAUACUGGUUCCUUGAAAUCAACCCUAAGCCAUUUCUCAAGUACUUCUGGUGUGAUGCAGCCUAGUGCUCCCAACAUUGCCCAUCUUCCAUGGAUGACCUGAAUGUUUUGUUUUGGUAACAAUGAAGUAAAUAUUUAUCAAGGUAUAGCUUUUAAGGAAAAUGAAAAACUAUGAGAAGUUAUAAAAUAGUCCUUUUAACUAUUCAAUUUUAUCUUUUUUACUUACUAAUUGGCUAACUUAAAAAUGAAUGGAUUGAGUGAUCAUUUUGUAACUUUUUAUAAUUGGGUAAUCAAAAAAUCAUAAUUGGGUGACUACUGAUAUAGUUGAGUGAAAACUAUAAUCUCUAAAUUUUGGGCUUGGAAAAAAAACUUUUAAAAUCAAAUGAUAUUUUUAACCUUGAUAUAAUAUUGUAAUAUUUAUAUUACGUGGGAGGGUUACCUCAAGAGCCCUAUUCCUGGCAAAGGCCUCAGGGUCGGCUGACAAACCAGCAGUGUCCCAACCAUAGUCUCCAGGGAAUUCUCCAGUCAAGUAAGAUGGAGUCUGAGCUGAAAAUGGUCCCAAGUACUUCACUCUGUCUGGCCCAUACCAUAGUUCAUUUCCCUACACAUAUCACAUCCCCAAAAUCAGAGCAAACAAAAACCAAUAAACAAGCUCGACUCUUUAUUUUUCAUAAAUAACACAUGAAUAUGAAAAGAAAAUUUCCAAAUAUAUGAAAAAAUUUAGAAAAUCACACCUAAAUCGAGAAACAUAGGUUAAAACUACUCACCCAAGAAGAAAAUUGUAAAAGAAAGGGAAACCUAAAGAACUAACCAUUGCAUAUUUGGGAGUGCCCAAAGAGACAACAUCUCUAAGAGGGUUAGCAUUUUUGGUUUGGCCAAGAAAUGGGGUUGGCCUAAGAACAGUUCCAGAGCUAAGCAUGGAAGCCAUUGUUUGUCAAUGGGGAUUGAUUUUGAGUUGCAAAAUGUAUGAAAAUGGAAGUGAAGAUUUUAUAUGUGGUGAAGAAAAGAAGAAUCAAAGGAAAUGGAUGGCAAAGAGGGGGUAAGGGAAUUGUGGUGGGGAUUUAAGGCUUCAAAUGAUCAACCAAUGAGAAGGCUGCAAAGGAUUUUUAAGUAUCUCCUACUCAUAUCCUUAUUAUCCACAAUUUAUAUCUUCCCCUUAAUUUAUAAUUUAUUUUCGGAAUGUAUCUAUCAGAACGAGUUUAAUAAUUUUGUAGGCAUAUUAAAUAAGUAAACGCUGAUUAUAAAUUUUAAAUUAUUUUUUAUUUAGAAUAAAUAUUAAAUUAUCGAUCACUUAUUAAGAUAAAAAAAUACUUAUUGUUUAUUUAAAUUUGUAUUUUAAUAUAUAUAUAAGUAUACCUCAAAAACAAAAUUAACGUUAAAGAAAAAAAACACAAAGAACAGUUGCGACGUUCAUCCAAUUGAAGUAAAAACGCCACGUGUUUGGUUUUAAUGCAAUGAAGUGGACUAUUGACCAGUUGUCGAUUCAACGUUCACCGACCGUCCAACGUUAUUGCCCCAUAUUAAACUUUUCUAGAUUUUUCAUAUAAAUCGUUAUCGGGAUUUUUUUUUUCGGAGUUUCUUAAAAUUUCAAUUUUUAGGGAUAUAUUUGAGAGAUAUAUUUGGAUAAUUUUUUAAAAAAAUUGAGUAAUAUAUUUCAGUAAUUUAAAUAAAAAUUUUAUAUAGUUUUUUAAGUUUUUUUUUUGAAUAAUUCUGACUGGAUUUAUAUCAUAUGUAAAAAAGAAAAUUGGGCUAAUAGCCACUACAAUAAGGACUAGAGAAAGAAAAUAAAUCGGGCUUAAACUAGCCCAUCUUGACCAAAAUAAACAAAAUUUGAAAAUAAAGCUAAUCCUAUACCAGUCAAAUCUAGAUAGCUGGACACCAUUAAUUAUCGUCUUUUCAAACCCACCGUCCAGUCAUAACGAUAGCAGGUUACCAAUUUAAUGCUUUUGUCUCUGCUAUCCUUUAAUGAAAACCUUUCCCUUUCUUCAGUCCGGAGGAUUUGGCCAGAGAUUUCCUACCGUUCUCCGAACCACUUCUGGGACUUCCCUCUCCAGGUAAAAACUUUCUCUUCUUCUAAGAGCCUCAUUUGCUAUAGUAUGUGCAUAAAUAUUCUGUGCUUUAGGGACAAAAGUAAACUCAAUCUCCUGGAACCUGUUUUUUAGACUUUGGAUAUCUGUGAUAAUUGCUCCAAUGACUGAUUUAUCUGUGAAGAAGCUUUGGCAUUUCUUGAUAACAGUUUUGGAAUCUCCUAAAACUGUUAAUUUAUUGACUCCCAGUCUAAUCCCUAAUUUUAUUGCAUGUAACCCUGCAUAUGCCUCUGCUGUGAAUGGAUUUGCAAUGUUGGAGUGAAUGACUACAUGUGAUGCAGGAAUCUCUCUAUUCUCGUUCCGUACUAUUAUACCUGAAGCCGAUCUGAACUCCAGACGAUCGUAAGCUGCAUCAAAAUGAAUGAAGGUCCAUCCCCUUUUGUGUAUCUGUUGGAGAUUGUCAGAUGAAUGGAGAGUAAGAUUUCUUACUUUUGUUACUGCAAGUUCUGUAAUAUAGACUCUGAUUUUCCUCGCUAUUUCUGAUCCUGACAUGAGUCUUUUUUCAUAUGCGAGAUGAUUUCUGCUAAACCAAAUGAACCAAAGGCUACAACAGAAAAGUUGAAACUGCUUUUCAUUACCUCGAUCAAAAACCCAGGUAAGCCAUCCCCACAUGUUAUUUAUACUCUGAUUCAGCACCCACAAUAAAUUUAACUGAUUCCAAACUUCCAUUGAUCUAGGGCACUGAAUAAAAAUAUGCCAGCUAUUUUCUUCAGCACAACCACACUUGGGACAAAGAGUGUUCAUCACUACCCUCUUUAUUUUGAGGUUGACAAAGGAAGGGAUAAAUCUCAAGAAAUCCUCCAAAUUGUCAUCUGAAUCUUUGAAGGGAUAUGUAACUUCCAUAAUUUGUUGUAGAAAUUUUUUGUCUCGGUAUGUAAUAAUAAAUCAUUAGGAUCCAGAUUAGAACCAUGUAAUAGUUUAUAGGCACUCCUUACCGAGAACUCCCCUGUCGGUUCUCCUCUCCAUACUUGAAAAUCUUCUUGUUCUGUCUUCGCAAAAGGGAUUUGUAAUAUUUGCUCUGCAACAUCUGGUUGAAAGGUAUUUCUUAUCAGCUCUGUUUUCCAGCUCCUGCUAUUUGGCUCAAUUAAAUCCGAGACUAAUUUAACAUUUUCAUUGUUUUCUUGAAUAGUGAUUCUGUCAGCUUAGAUCCCCGGUAUCCAUGAAUCUCCCCGUAUGGGAAUUUGAUCACCUCUCCCCACCCUCCAACAGCGUCUAUUAUUAAAAAGUCCUCUCGCAGCCCAUAUAUUUUUCCAGGUAAAUGAAGGUAAAUUCCCCAACUGAGCUUUGUAGAAAUCUGAAUUGGGAAAAUAUUUUACUUUCAAAACACGGGAAAUAAUGAAUUCGGAUAAUUAAUAAGACGCCAUCCCUGCUUCGUUAAUAAUGCAACGUUAAAUUUAGCAAAAUCACGAAAAUCGAGACCACCAUAUUCUUUUAAUAGACAUAUAUCCUUCCAAGUGCACAAGUGGAUACCUUUUUUAUUAAAUCUCUUUUGCCACCAGAAGUUGGCUAUUAUUCUAUCCAAAUCAGUACAAAGCGUCUUAAGGAGUAGAAAACAAGCCAUCGAGUAUGUUGGAAUAGCUUGGAGAAUUGCCUUAAUAAACACUUCCUUUCUUCUUUGUGAGAGAUACCUAAUACUCCAACUGUCGAUUUUUUGCUUGAGUCUGUCCUUCAAAUUUUGAAAAGAUAAUCUCUUUCUUUUCCCCACCAUACUAGGAAGUCCUAGAUAUCGCUCAAAAUCAUUAGCUCUUCUGACUCCAAGGAUCUGUGAAACAGCACUCUUUUCACUCUCUUUUGUAUUUAGUACUGAAGAAAACUGUCAAUUUUUCAAAAUUCACACAUUGCCCAGAACUUGUCUCGUAUUCUUGCAGUAUCUGUUUUAAUGAAUGUGCUACCCUAUCCGUAGCUUCUGCAAAUAAAAUACAAUCAUCUGUAAAUAGUAAAUGGGAGAUAGCUAGCCCUAUUCGACUUGCUUUAACACCUUUAAAAACAUUAUCCUCUUUUGCUAACCUCAUUAGACUUGAGAGUCCUCCACAAAUAAGAAAUAAAAAUGGACUUAGAGGAUCCCCUUGCCUAAAACCUCUCGAUGGGAGAAACGUUUGACCAAUAUUUCUAUUAAAACUCAGAGUAUGAGACUGAAGAGACACAAUUCAGUACUAAAUCAACCCAUCCUGGGUCAAAACCCAUUUUUUCCAUUACUCUUUUAACAAACCCCUAUUCAACCCUAUCACAUGCCUUACUCAUGUCCAGUUUAACAGCCAUGAAUCCUUUUUUCCCCAAUCUCUUCAGUUUCAAAGUGUGUAGAAUUUCAUAAGCAAGUAACACAUUAUCACAUGCCUUCCUGGAACAAAAGCAAUCUUUACUAAAUCAAUACAUUUAUGAAUUAUCCCCCGUAGCCUAUUCGCAAUGACUUUAGCAAUCAAUUUGUAAAUCACAUUACAUAAACUAAUAGGUCUAAAAUGGGUAAUGCUUGAGGGAUUUUGGAUUUUUGGGAUGAGCACAAUAUUUGUUUUAUUAAUUGAAUGUAACCCAAUACCUUCGUUUAAUCUUUGGAGACAAAAAUUGGAGACGUCAUUUGUGAACCUUGCCUUCAGUUUAAUGUUAUCUUCCUCAGAAAUACACCUUCUAAUACCUGUCAAGAUAUUCUCAAAGUUAUUUUGCCCUCCUAUUGAAAACAAACGUAAAAAGUACGAUCUGGCAAUUUCCUCCAUAUCCUUCCAUUUAUCCGUCUCCCUGCCGUCUUCACCCUACAGCUUGUGGAUUCUAUUUUGCUUCCUUCGUUGCGAUGCUUGUUUAUGAAAAAAAGUUGUAUUUCUGUCUCCCAUUUUCAACCAAUUAAUUCUGGCCCUCUGUUCCCAAUAGCUUUCAUCCUUCUCAAUUUCUAAAUUCUGAUGGAUUUUUGUGUCAAUAAUCUCUGCCAAGUUCUCCUCACUUCUAUCCGCUUCAAGCAACAUUUCUAAUUUUGACAAUAAGGCCUCUUUUUUCAUCCUUUUAUUCUGUUGGAACCGGACACACCACAUUUGUAACCCUCGUUUUAAAUUUUCCAGCUUCUUCACAAUGUCUCCUGUUGAGCUUUCCUAAAUACUUUUAGUCUCAUCCAAGAAUGUCUCUUCUAAAAUCCACCAUGCUUCAAACCUGAACCUCUGAUCUGCUAUCUUUUUAACUCUGUGAUCCGUAUCAAUAAGAAGUGGACAAUGGUCUGAGAAUGAAUGUGGGAGGUGUUGAAUUAGAAAAUUUGGAAAUAAGUCACUCCAUCUUUCUGUUGCCACCCCUCUAUAUAAUCUUUCAUGGAUAUUAGUUUCUGGCAGAUUUCCCCUCUCCCACGUAAACCUCUUACCUGAAUAUCCCAAAUCCACUAAACAACAAUCAUCCAAAGCCUUCCGAAAUGCUUCCAUCCUUCUCUCUUCUCUAGGCAAACCACCUUUCUUCUCAAAACAUAUAAGAUUUCAUUAAAAUCCCCACAAACCAGCCAUGGGUCAUCUCCCUGGUUUCUUAAUUUUCGCAACAAGUUCCAUGAUUCCUCCCUAUCAUAUGAAUAAGGGGAACCAUAAAAACCUGUAAAUCUCCACUUUUCUCCAUCUCCUUCUUCCUCAAUGAUCACAUCAAUAUGUCUACUUGAAAAACUCUAUAGUGCAAUACUAGUAUUCCCUCUACAUGCUAAACAAAGUCCUCAUCUAGAUCCAAUCGAAUCCACAUCAAUUCCAAAGUGAAAUCCACAACUUCUUCGAAUUUUUUCCAUCUUUUUUUUUGUUUAUUUUUGUCUCCAUUAAGAAGAUCACUUGGGGAUAGUGUUUCUUCAGCGAAUGCUAAAGUCGAUGAACUGUCCGAGGAUUCCCCGAACCUCGGACAUUCCAACUUAAUAUUUUCAUUGCGAUUGGUCGUCUUACCUCUUGGCAGUUGCCGAUAAUAAAUGAUUGAAUCCCUGUACUUUCCUAUCUCUCCCUUUCAUCUCCCUACUAUCCUCAAUAUCCUUUCUCCCUCUCUUUUUUCCCUCUUCUCCUAUAAUCAUCGCAUUCUCCAACUCCUGUUCUAUAGCCAUUUGACUAUAAUCAUUUAAAGGUCUAACCAUUUCUAUUUGUGAGGAGAACCCAUUACCUUUCAGAUUAAAUCUUAAAAUAGGAUCAACACUUCCCCUAAAAUUUCCUACGCUUCCCCUUUCAUUAUUUCCUCCGCUCAUUCCUCCCCCUGAACCUCCUUCCUCCUUUAACCAUACACUUCUCAUUGCUUGGGCUCUCCUUGAUUGUGCACGCAAAGAUAAAUCCCAUCCCAUCAUAUCAACUUCAACCACUGCCAACAUUUUUGCUUCACAAAAGGAGUCAUUAUGUCCAAGACGGCCACAGUAGAAGCAAAAAAGAGUCAAUCUUUCGUACUUAAAUCUAACAUAAGAGCACUUGUUAUUAAACAUAACCUGCUUUUUCCUUUUGAGAGGGCGCCGAAUGUCAACUUGAACUCUUAUCCUCAUGAAAUUCAUAUUUUCUUUCCCCAAACUAGAUCCAUCGUAUUCUUGAAAAAAUUCCAAUAAAAUUCCCUAACUGCAUCACUAAUUUAUCAGAGUAAAACCCAAUGGGCACAUCAUGUAUUUGAACCCAAAACGGUGAUGAGAUUAAAGGAACUUUUAGUGGAUCUUCCCCCUUGCAACUUGUGUUAAAUUAGUAGAUGAUUAUUGAAUGUCCAAGCAGCCCAUUUAAUAACUCUUUCCAUAUCAAUAACAUGAAAAAACUUAAACAAGUACCUUUUUUCCCCAGAUCCCUAAUUUGAACACCCUUGACCGGAUGCCAUAGAUUAGCCAUGGUACUUUUCAUUGCUGGAUAAUGGAUGAUACUGGCUGUAAGAAAACAACGAACCAGACUAAGAGAUUCUUCAUUAAUAACUAAAUUUGAGUCACCUUGUGCUUGCAGGAUCUCUUCUUCUUCUUCAUCAAGAGAUAAACCCGCAAAUUCUGAUUCCAUGGAUGCUGUACUCGAAUCCUCCGUUAAAGAAAUCACUUCAAAUCAAUGGAGAUGAACGCCGCCAAAACAAGAAAACACAAGAAAAAAACUUGCCAAAGAAGCAUACAGAGACGUGCUAGGGUAGCAGACUAUUUUUUACAAAAGUUGACGUAAAUUUUUAAGUUUAUUUUUUAAAAAUAAAAAAAUGAAAAAGAUUUAUUUUUAUUUUUCUCAUAUUUUUUAAAGAUUAUUUAAAUUUAAUUUCAAAAGAGAAUAAAACUGACAUGCAAAUAGAUUAAAAGUUAAAAGAAAAGUUUAAAAGCAUUUAACUAGGUAUAGUCACCAGUGAUGGUGUUACAUUUUUUCAUCCAAUCUAAAAAAGAAAAUUAUUUCAUCAUGUCUUUAAACAUUUUACAUAAUUGCACUUCAAUCAGGUGCAGUUAAUGACAACAGCGGUAGGGGCAAGGUCAAAACAAUGUUUUAGGAGGGUCGCAUGAAAUUUUAAAUUUUUAUAGUUUAUAUAUUUAUAAUUUUUGAAGAAUUAAAUUAAUUUUUUAUAAUUUUAGGGGGGCUAAAGUAUAAUUUUACCUUUAUUAAUUUAAAAUUUUAAAAAGUUUUAAAUAACCUAAACAACAAAUUUCUAUUUUAGGGGGGUCGGAACUCCUGUCAGCCCCCAGAUUACCCUCUAAACGACAACAUCAAAAAAAUAUUCUUUUCCAGCCAAUGAUUGGCCCAUUAUGAAGC
rnacentral:lncRNA from 1 species